CAAACCUGGUUAUGGUAGUUUCGACAAGAGUACAUGACAUCGGGAAUAGAUGUUUGUUCAUCAUUGUUAUAAAAAGUGUCUACUUUGUACAUUUUUCAACUGAUUGCCGGCCCACACGUGUGAUCUGUCAAAGAGCAAAGGGACGGAACUCUUAUACAUAGGUCUGACUAAUACCCAUAUUUGUUUUUAAGAAAAUUUAAACAAAAACGUCC
rnacentral:lncRNA from 1 species